rnacentral:rRNA from 1 species
UGGGGAAUUUUGGACAAUGGGCGCAAGCCUGAUCCAGCCAUGCCGCGUGCGGGAAGAAGGCCUUCGGGUUGUAAACCGCUUUUGUCAGGGAAGAAAUCUUCUGAGUUAAUACCUCGGGAGGAUGACGGUACCUGAAGAAUAAGCACCGGCUAACUACGUGCCAGCAGCCGCGGUAAUACGUAGGGUGCAAGCGUUAAUCGGAAUUACUGGGCGUAAAGCGUGCGCAGGCGGUUUUGUAAGACAGAGGUGAAAUCCCCGGGCUCAACCUGGGAACUGCCUUUGUGACUGCAAGGCUUGAGUGCGGCAGAGGGGGAUGGAAUUCCGCGUGUAGCAGUGAAAUGCGUAGAUAUGCGGAGGAACACCGAUGGCGAAGGCAAUCCCCUGGGCCUGCACUGACGCUCAUGCACGAAAGCGUGGGGAGCAAACAGGAUUAGAUACCCUGGUAGUCCACGCCCUAAACGAUGUCAACUGGUUGUUGGGAAGGUUCCUUCUCAGUAACGUAGCUAACGCGUGAAGUUGACCGCCUGGGGAGUACGGCCGCAAGGUUGAAACUUAAAGGCAAUUGAC